AUUUAAUAUUGUGAAUUUUAUAAAGAAAAUGAAACUAAGCCAGAGAUAUUCUUGGUAUCAGCAUUAUUGAGUGAACGUCUAUUUAUUUACCCGCUGAUUCGGUCAUCACAAUAUUUACUAUCGUUACGGGAUGAAUUAAGCAUGGACAGUGUUUAUGACUUGUCUUUUUCAUUUCAUUAAAGAUCGCAAUUGUAUAAAGCCAGGAUCUUUUUUGUUGGAUGACCAAUAUGGAUAAUCAGCUGAACGAUCGGUGGACCCAAUCGGUGUAAAUGUUGGGUCAAAGAAAUCGAUUAUAAGGAUCUGUAGUGUUUUGUUUGCGUUUGUUUAAGAACCAGUUACAUAAACAUUUUGAUGUUGUGUUCAUUAUUGCAAAUGGAUUAAAGCUUUUAGUGUUGUAUCGAAAAGACUAGGACUACAAGAGGAAAGAAAAGAAAUCGACUUGGAUUGUGAAUAGUGACCAAUUGUAAAUUUAGAGUUGCUAUAUAACUAUUAUUCUUGGUUGCAAGUUUCUUCUUUGGCAGCUUGUGAUUCAGAUGAUACGGAGAGGACAGAGACAUAAAAUUUCUGGUGAAAAAAGGAGAAGGAGUUUUUAAUGGAUAAAAGUAAAGGGAAAAUAAUGAAAGAAAAAAAAGGAAAGGAAGAAUGAAGAAGAAAAUCUAAAGACGAGCACAGAAAUGGUGUAAGAAAAGAAGGAAAAAAAGGACUGAAAUGUUCAGUUUCUUGAGUCAUGAAAUAAGAUUGUGCCAACCUAAGCUAGUUUUGUCUAUAAAUGAAGUCACUUUUUUUCCUCUUUCCAAAGGAAGAUGGAAAAAAGAAGAGCAAAAGAAAGAGGAGAAGAUAAAUGUUGAGACUUUAACGAAGGUUGCAUUAAGGGUGAGGCAGCGUGAGGCAACAUAAAAUUGUUAGCUAAUCCAAGUAAUAAAAUGUUGGAAGAAAAAGGGAAAAAAUUGGAAAAGGAAAGGAAAAGGAAAAGCAUAAUGGUGAGUGAAGGGAAAAUUUGUGAACACGAUUUGGUAACUUCCAUCAUCAAAGUCCAUCUUUCGCUCCAUUGGAAGAAAUUGGUUUGGAUCUUAUCGAUCAUUGAAGGAUAACCAACCUUUUACUGAGGCCUGUGUUUGUAUUCAACUUUACAAUUACAUUUUAUAUUUCAAACUUGUCAGCCUAUCAUUUCACGGCAUGGAAUAUUUUUAUACUUUUUUCUUUUCACUAAUCACAUCGAUCCGUCGAGUUAAAUAAAAAGUUAAUCAGAAGGAAGAAGAGGAAGAGGAGGAGGAGGAGGUAAAGAUAAUGAUGAAAACGCAGUCCGCAUGUCAUAUUGAUUCAACUCAAUGGAAUCCAUUGGGUCUAAUAAAAACUUUCAUCUUUGCUAUUUUUUCACGACCUUUUCUUCUUCUCUCAACAAAAGUUCAAUAAACAGAAAUUUUUCAUGAUUCCUCUUGAAGCUUGAUCUACUGGAUUGAUAUUAUAAAAAGUUGAGAAAUAAGAAUU